GAUGAACGCUGGCGGCGUGCCUAAUACAUGCAAGUCGAGCGAACAGACGAGGAGCUUGCUCCUCUGACGUUAGCGGCGGACGGGUGAGUAACACGUGGAUAACCUACCUAUAAGACUGGGAUAACUUCGGGAAACCGGAGCUAAUACCGGAUAAUAUAUUGAACCGCAUGGUUCAAUAGUGAAAGACGGUUUUGCUGUCACUUAUAGAUGGAUCCGCGCCGCAUUAGCUAGUUGGUAAGGUAACGGCUUACCAAGGCUACGAUGCGUAGCCGACCUGAGAGGGUGAUCGGCCACACUGGAACUGAGACACGGUCCAGACUCCUACGGGAGGCAGCAGUAGGGAAUCUUCCGCAAUGGGCGAAAGCCUGACGGAGCAACGCCGCGUGAGUGAUGAAGGUCUUCGGAUCGUAAAACUCUGUUAUUAGGGAAGAACAAAUGUGUAAGUAACUAUGCACGUCUUGACGGUACCUAACCAGAAAGCCACGGCUAACUACGUG
rnacentral:rRNA from 1 species